CCUUCUUCGAUGAGAAGGAAGACACCUGUGCUGCCGUGGGGGAGAUCUCUGUGAACACCAGGUGAGCAUUCGCCCUUCCCUGGCACUGAAAACCCUGCCUGGGGGCCCCUUACACACGGCUGUGUCUCUCUCUGUAGUGUGGCCUUCCUUCCAUACAUGGAAAGUGUCUUUGAAGAAGUAUUUAAACUGCUGGAGGUGAGCGGGCCGGCGGGUGGAGUGGGUGGGGUUCUCAGGCUGGGGGCCCUGUGUUCACGGUGCACAUAGCAGACAUAUCCCGCCCCUCCUCAUCCUGCAGUGCCCUCACCUGAAUGUGCGGAAGGCAGCCCAUGAGGCUCUGGGUCAGUUUUGCUGUGCACUGCACAAGGCCUGUCAAAGCUGCCCCUCGGAACCCAACACUGCUGGUGAGGAGAGGCUGGGCCAGGCUGGGGGUUCUUGGGGAGGGGCAGGGCCUGACUGGUGCUUCAGCCAAUAAUGUCCCCAGCUUUGCAGGCUGCCCUGGCCCGAGUGGUGCCAUCCUACAUGCAGGCAGUGAACAGGGAGCGGGAACGCCAGGUGGUGAUGGCCGUGCUGGAGGCCCUGACAGGGGUGCUCCGCAGCUGUGGGACCCUCACACUGAAGCCCCCUGGGCGCCUCGCUGAGCUCUGUGGCGUGCUCAAGGCUGUGCUGCAGAGGAAGACAGCCUGUCAGGAUACUGACGAGGA
rnacentral:sRNA from 1 species